UACGUAGGGCGCAAGCGUUGUCCGGAAUUAUUGGGCCUAAAGCAUCCGUAGCCGGUUCUACAAGUCUUCCGUUAAAUCCACCUGCUUAACAGAUGGGCUGCGGAGGAUACUAUAGAGCUAGGAGGCGGGAGAGGCAAGCGGUACUUAGUGGGUAGGGGUAAAAUCCGUUGAUCCAUUGAAGACCGCCAGUGGCGAAGGCGGCUUGCCAGAACGCACUCGACGGUGAGGGAUGAAAGCUGGGGGAGCAAACCGG
rnacentral:rRNA from 1 species